GCAGCGCUGUGGGCUGAGCGGCCGGAGGUCCCCGUGUCCCCACCCUCCCCGACGGCCACGGGACCCCGGUGGGACGAGGUUCCCACGCAGCAGCGAGGUGCGAGGCGCCGGGCUACAGUUCCCGUGCCCGUCCUACCCCCGCCCGCAGGUAAAUAGAUACACCCGCGAUGGAGCCCUGCCCGCGCGUGUGCGGGGCUCAGCGUGCGGCGAGGAUUGACACCAUGACUCUGAAGCAGCCCUGACACAGGAAAUCCAGAAUGUGCUGCCUCCCAGCUUCCAUGCACCAGCACUUGGUCAAAGCCUGAGCAGCUCAGACAAACCAGCCAUUCCCAAAAACAUCCUCCCAGAAUCAACGAGCCCCUCCCCAGUGCUUGGCACAGGCAGAUCCCGCACGUCACUCACCUGCUCCUGUGAAUUCAUCACCCGCAGCUUCAUUUGCUUCAGGGUCCCUUAAACUUGAGGAAGAUACCGAGUCUUGCUGAAGCCUCAGAAGCCUUUCCAUGCACAUAUUCACAUUGGAUUUAUGCAAGGGGUGAUGAACAAGGAUCUAUUUGCAGCUUGCUUCAGCAUUGCAAAAUCUUGCCAA